AGGACGAACGCUGGCGGCGUGCUUAACACAUGCAAGUCGAGCGGAAAGGCCCUUCGGGGUACUCGAGCGGCGAACGGGUGAGUAACACGUGAGUAAUCGGCCCCUAGCUCUGGGAUAGCUCCGGGAAACCGGGAUUAAUACCGGAUACGACCACCUUAGACAUCUUUUGUGGUGGAAAGAAUUUCGGCUAGGGAUGAGCUCGCGGCCUAUCAGCUUGUUGGUGGGGUAAUGGCCUACCAAGGCGACGACGGGUA
rnacentral:rRNA from 1 species